rnacentral:rRNA from 1 species
AAGAACCUUUGCGCUUUUGGAGCGGCCGAUGUCUGAUUAGCUUGUUGGUAAGGUAAAAGCUUACCAAGGCUUCGAUUCAGUAACUGGUCUGAGAGGACGACCAGCCACACUGGGACUGAGACACGGCCCAGACUCCUACGGGAGGCAGCAGUGGGGAAUUUUGGACAAUGGGGGCAACCCUGAUCCAGCCAUGCCGCGUGAGUGAAGAAGGCCUUCGGGUUGUAAAGCUCUUUCAGCCGGAACGAAACGGUUACGGUUAAUACCCGUGACUACUGACGGUACCGGAAGAAGAAGCACCGGCUAACUACGUGCCAGCAGCCGCGGUAAUACGUAGGGUGCAAGCGUUAAUCGGAAUUACUGGGCGUAAAGCGUGCGCAGGUGGUUUUGUAAGUCAGAUGUGAAAUCCCCGGGCUUAACCUGGGAACU